rnacentral:rRNA from 1 species
GAUGAACGCUGGCGGCGUGCCUAAUACAUGCAAGUCGAGCGAACGGACGAGAAGCUUGCUUCUCUGAUGUUAGCGGCGGACGGGUGAGUAACACGUGGAUAACCUACCUAUAAGACUGGGAUAACUUCGGGAAACCGUAGCUAAUACCGGAUAAUAUUUUGAACCGCAUGGUUCAAAAGUGAAAGACGGUCUUGCUGUCACUUAUAGAUGGAUCCGCGCUGCAUUAGCUAGUUGGUAAGGUAACGGCUUACCAAGGCAACGAUGCAUAGCCGACCUGAGAGGGUGAUCGGCCACACUGGAACUGAGACACGGUCCAGACUCCUACGGGAGGCAGCAGUAGGGAAUCUUCCGCAAGGGGCGAAAGCCUGACGGAGCAACGCCGCGUGAGUGAUGAAGGUCUUCGGAUCGUAAAACUCUGUUAUUAGGGAAGAACAUAUGUGUAAGUAACUGUGCACAUCUUGACGGUACCUAAUCAGAAAGCCACGGCUAACUACGU